UUCUAAACUUACAAAUGACAACUUACAAACUAUUUAUAGACUCCAAAAUAACUAAACAAAUUCAACAUCAAAGAUGUUCAUACUAAUAAUUAAAAUGUUCACACUAAGCAUUAAAAUGAUGUUGAUGAACAUUGGUAAGUGCAUGUAUCAGUCGAAUGGACAUAUUCCCAUCUUAAAUUCGUUCAUGCUUCUUUAGCCAAGAAGAAACUCCAUGUUCCAUGAAUGACCAGCUUUAAUUCUUCUCUAAUUCCCCAUUGGCCAUAUGUUCAAUGCAUGACUCAUGCACAACUUGAUUGACACAUUAAAUGAACCUUGAGCACUUGAAUGAGCAGCAUGCAUCUUAAAGAUAAAUCUCCCAAUUCGGUUCAUGCAUGGGUUUGUUCAAUGACCAAAAUAAUGUGGCUUCUUCUCCCUUGGAUGUUCAUGAAUAUAUCCAUGCAUGAAUGUCACCCAAAUGGUCAUAUUAUGCCACUUUUCUUCCAACCGUCCUUGCAUCACAAUAAUGGCAAUGAAUCCUUCAUCCUUAAGAAAUGUAUGAAACAUGAAUUUGAGCAGCAUUUGAUUAGUCACAAAGCAUCUUAAUUGAAGGCUGAUUCUUGAAAAUUCUAGUUGCUUCAAUGGUGCAUGAAUUUGGCAAGAAAAGGAGCACUCAAAGUUCCAUACGGAUGGUCACCUACAUAUAUAAAUGGACAUAAGCCAUUUGCAACAAUCACCAUCCACAAUCGGUUAAGACACUUAACUAAACUAGACACUUGACUUAGACUCUAGACACAUACGCACAUAACACACAUAUGAACGAAUGCUAAAAUAAUUCACAUCAUACUAUAAAAUCAAUAACUUGAGAUAAACAUUCCAUACGCAUGUAAAUAUGAACACAACUCAUGCUAAAACUUAUGAAACACAAACAUAUAAUGCAUGAAAAAUCUGUGGAUAAAACAAAAUAAUAAUAACUUGACACCUAGUCACGUUGAAACAUCAAAACAUGAAAAUAUCAGACAAAACGCUUGUUUGAAUAAUUUCUUUUUAACUUUGGGCCCCUCUCGCUUUGGCCAAUCUUAAUUCCUUCAAUUUGAAUCACAUGAUGCGACCGGAAUCACGUCAAAUAUGGUUCAAUAAAUUGUCAACAACAUAAAUAUGGAAACUGCCUCAACCUACUGCAGUGAUCUAGUGAGUGAGCACUCUAUCAAAUACACAAUUACCUUUUCCAUAUUUUUUAACACUUAAUAAAAAUCAUUAAUUGCUUGAAGAAUGCACUCAAAUCUGAAGGCAACAAAUCAAAUAUACUGCAAAAGAAAAUGAUUUUAUGUUAGCAUCAAGAUUAAUGGUUGUAAACCAUUUAUAUAGAUACACAAUGAAAUAAGCAAGAAAAUAAAUGAUUGUAAAUAUGAACAAUGUGAAAGGAAAUUUAAAAACAAAUAUCUUAUUGAUUAUUAGUAGACAUAUUUCCAGCUUGCUUGGGCAGGUGUCUGAACUCUUGCAUAUAUAGAAGUGAAGCCAAUCUUAUAAAAUUGAUAUAUAUUUUUAAAGUUUGUAUCUCUUCAUUUAUGAUCUUAACUAGCAUGGAUGUGGUUGGGAUCUCAGCUAACUCUGAUUUAAGAUAUAAGUAUAAGAAUGUGUUCAACAUAAAUAUAUGUUCGAAAGUUUUCUUAGAAGUCAUCCCAUGUAUAUGUUCAAAUAUGUAUUAAUCAAGGUGUUGGAUACAAAUAUUUAAAUUCAAGUAACAUAGAUCAGAGUCAACUUCGACUCCUUGGAUCACCCUAUCUCCAUUUCCAGCUACAUAAUGUUUUCUGAAGUAAAAAAAAAAAAAAUUCUCUUUUGUUUUACCUGAAAUAUAGAGCAGAAGAACCUAACCUUCAUCCUUCAAAUAAACUUGGAGGAGAAAACUCAAACAUCAUGAUUCAAUGAUAUAUUCCACCCCUUGCACACCAGCCUAAAGCCCAGCACUUGUCCAGUGUGCAAGAGAUGGAAUAUAACAUAAACCCAUGUCAAACAACAAUUUCUG
rnacentral:lncRNA from 1 species